rnacentral:rRNA from 1 species
UACGUAGGGCGCAAGCGUUGUCCGGAAUUAUUGGGCGUAAAGAGCUCGUAGGCGGCUUGUCACGUCGGUUGUGAAAGCCCGGGGCUUAACCCCGGGUCUGCAGUCGAUACGGGCAGGCGUAGAGUGUGGUAGGGGAGAUCGGAAUUCCUGGUGUAGCGGUGAAAUGCGCAGAUAUCAGGAGGAACACCGGUGGCGAAGGCGGAUCUCUGGGCCAUUACUGACGCUGAGGAGCGAAAGCGUGGGGGAGCGAACAGG